AUCUCUUUGCCUUUUGGCUUAGAUCAAGUGUAGUAUCUGUUCUUUUCAGUGUAACAACUGAAACGCCACGGUAUCAUCCGUGGCAUUUAUUAAAUUUGUUACUUUACUUUUUGGACUUGAAUUCAUGGUUGGAUUGGGUUUCACGCUUGGGCUUGCUCAAGUGUCCCAGUUCUUCCGCUUUGUGUCGUUGCCCUUACACUUUUGGCUUCUGACGCAGUUCUCCC
rnacentral:snRNA from 1 species